AUCUACAGCCAUGCCACCCUGAAUGUGCCCGACCUCGUGUCUAAUCUCAGAAGCUAAGCAAGGUUGGGCUUGGUUAGCAGUCUCUACAUGGGAGACCACCUACUGCUGUAGGUG
rnacentral:rRNA from 1 species